rnacentral:rRNA from 1 species
CCUACGGGAGGCAGCAGUAGGGAAUAUUGGGCAAUGGAGGGAACUCUGACCCAGCCAUGCCGCGUGCAGGAUGAAGGCGUUAUGCGUUGUAAACUGCUUUUAUAUAGGAAGAAAUAGUCCUUGCGAGGAAAGUUGACGGUACUAUAUGAAUAAGCACCGGCUAACUCCGUGCCAGCAGCCGCGGUAAUACGGAGGGUGCAAGCGUUGUCCGGAUUUAUUGGGUUUAAAGGGUGCGUAGGCGGUUUAUUAAGUCAGUGGUGAAAGACGGUCGCUCAACGAUUGCAGUGCCAUUGAUACUGGUAGACUUGAGUGGGAUUGAGGUAGCUGGAAUGGAUAGUGUAGCGGUGAAAUGCAUAGAUAUUAUCCAGAACACCAAUUGCGUAGGCAAGUUACUAAGUCUCAACUGACGCUGAGGCACGAAAGUGUGGGUAUCAAACAGGAUUAGAUACCCUGGUAGUCCACACUGUAAACGAUGAUAACUAACUGUUGGCUUUCGGGUCAGUGGUACAGAGAAAUCGUUAAGUUAUCCACCUGGGGAGUACGCCGGCAACGGUUGAAACUCAAANAGAGUAGAGNGNGAGAGNGCGAGACGACGACGAGGGAGGAGG